rnacentral:rRNA from 1 species
GGACUACUCGGGUAUCUAAUCCCGUUCGCUCCCCUGGCUUUCGCACCUGAGCGUCAGAUGCUCCCCAGGACACUGCCUACGCCUUCGGUGUUCCUCCGGAUAUCUACGCAUUUCACCACUACACCCGGAAUUCCGUGUCCCUCUGAAGCCCUCAAGUCGCGCAGUUUUCAAAGUCCUUGCCCAGUUAAGCCGGGCACUGUCACUCCAAACUUACACGACCGCCUGCGUGCGCUUUACGCCCAGUAACUCCGGACAACGCUUGCCCCCUACGUAUUACCGCGGCGGCUGGCAC